UGGGGAAUUUUGCACAAUGGGGGAAACCCUGAUGCAGCGACGCCGCGUGAUUUAGAAGGCCUUCGGGUUGUAAAAAUCUUUUCUAUGGGAAGAAAAUGACAGUACCAUAGGAAUAAGGACCGGCUAAUUACGUGCCAGCAGCCGCGGUAAUACGUAAGGUCCGAGCGUUGUCCGGAAUCAUUGGGCGUAAAGGGUACGUAGGCGGGUAAGCAAGUUAGAAGUGAAAUCCUAUAGCUAAACUAUAGUAAGCUUUUAAAACUGCUCAUCUUGAGGUAUGGAAAGGAAAGUGGAAUUCCUAGUGUAGCGGUGAAAUGCGCAGAUAUUAGGAGGAAUACCGGUGGCGAAGGCGACUUUCUGGACAUAACCUGACGCUGAGGUACGAAAGCGAGGGUAGCAAACAGG
rnacentral:rRNA from 1 species